rnacentral:lncRNA from 1 species
CCUGACCUCGUGAUCCACCCACCUUGGCCUCCCAAUCAAAAUAUUUUUGUGAUGCUCCAGCAGUAGAGCUUCACUAAUAUGAACCAUAUCUACUUCGGCAAUUUCUAACAUUCAGUGCAACCUAACAUUUGUUGUGAGCUCACAAUACGUUGGAUACUAAGCCGACUUUGCAAGGGAUUGAAAGAUAAACAAGACAUGGAAGUUCACAGACUGGUAGAGAAGACAUCAUGCCAGCAACAAUGUGACAAAUGCUAUCACUGAGAUAUGUACAAGGUUUGUAUGGGAACCUAGAGGAGGGACAGAGAAGAUUUUCUUGGGGACCUAGAGGAGGGAACUUAUAGACUAGGUCUACAGGAGUUAUAGAAGAUUUAAGAAAAAAGGAAAAGUUCAAGAAUGAGAAACACUACCAAAAAUUCAGUAUUAGUGUUACAAUAACUCUGGCAGAGAAAACGUGAAGUCCUCUGAUGAGCCAAUGGCGAGAAGGAAGGUUCCUACUCUAACGGCGAUCUGUAAUUCUGUCAAGAAGAGAUCCAGUUCUCUUCAAGCUGGUUCCCAAUGGAACAGUUGGUGUAGCAAUGGCAAAUGCUUCUGUGGUCAUCCUUGGGGAAACUACCCACUUCUAACCAAAUUGGAAAAUGAAUAAAUGGAAAGUGAAGAUGUACAGUGAAGUUCAGCUUAUCACUACUGAGACAGACAGAAUUAAAAAGGGAAAGGUAGACUGAGAAUUAGGAAGAGAGAGAUGCAAAAAUUGAACAAAAGUUUGAGAAACAGAGCAGAGGUUCAAAUGGAAAUAGAGAUUCCAGAUCUCUCCCAUUUCUUCAGGAAUAAAUACUGCCCUGUAACCACUGGACAUUAAAUAUUUACCUACCAUAUGAAUUUGCUCUUAAGGUGCUACUCAUAUCCUACCUAUCUUUCAAUUUAGCAAGAAUGGGUAAUUCCGUUUUUUUUU